rnacentral:rRNA from 1 species
GACGAACGCUGGCGGCGUGCUUAACACAUGCAAGUCGAACGAUGAAGCCGGAGCUUGCUCUGGUGAAUUAGUGGCGAACGGGUGAGUAACACGUGAGUAACCUGCCCUUGACUCUGGGAUAACUGCUAGAAAUGGUAGCUAAUACCGGAUACGACCCUCGGAGGCAUCCCCAGGGGGUGGAAAGAAUUUCGGUCAAGGAUGGACUCGCGGCCUGUCAGCUAGUUGGUGAGGUAACGGCUCACCAAGGCGACGACGGGUAGCCGGCCUGAGAGGGUGACCGGCCACACUGGGACUGAGACACGGCCCAGAGUCCUACGGGAGGCAGCAGUGGGGAAUAUUGCACAAUGGGCGCAAGCCUGAUGCAGCAACGCCGCGUGAGGGAUGACGGCCUUCGGGUUGUAAACCUCUUUUAGUAGGGAAGAAGCGAAAGUGACGGUACCUGCAGAAAAAGCACCGGCUAACUACGUGCCAGCCGCCGCCGUAA